rnacentral:lncRNA from 1 species
GUCAUUAACCAGGAGGCCUGCCUAAGGUCAGUGGGAGGACCAGAACUCGGGGGCCAGGGCUCUGCCAACUUACCUGCAACUUACCUGCUGUCAGAAUUCAAAGAAGCACGUAUUCAGUGUCCUGCUUUGUGCCUUGGUUCCUCCUGUGCCACUUCUCUGCCUGAGCAUCCUGUUUUGUCUCGGGAGCACCUUUUCUGUUUGAGCCAGCUCCCACGGAGUGCAGUGCAGACACCCACUGUGAACACCCACUCAGCUCCCCUGGGCCUUUCACCCACGACUUGCCCAGAGGUCUUGCUCUCACGGUGCAAAUAUGAUUGCAACGUGGCUGUGCACGCAACCCACGCCUCUCUGGACCCCGUGCUCCAGAGAAUUCGAGGCAGAGCAGCGUUUCUAUUAUCACUUAGUAAUUGGAGUUUUGUGGGCCUGGGAUUACUGCUAAUGGAAAGCAAAUGGACUCAGAAUCAAGAAAUCAGCCAUUGAACACCCGGCACCACCCAGUAAAGCGAAGAGGCUAUUAUGCCACUUUAUGUGGGUAGUGAUCAUCAUUUGCAGAAAGAUUUGCAAAAACCUUACCAGCCCAUAGAAAUGAUGCCCCGCUAGGCUUUCAAGUGGCCCUGCCCUCCUGGCCCAGAGCAGCUAAGUGGCUGCCCAGGUAGGAAGCCUUACCUAGAGUGUGGAUGGCUGCCCAAGGCCCAGGUGCUCCUCCUUGGCGGCAGAGAGAUUUAGUUUUGUCUUUGCUUUCUCUCUGGUACCCAAACCUCAGACAAGCUCUCUGAACCCAGAGUAUUUCUGUAUGCUCUUCCUUAGACUUCCUCAGCCUCAUCGCCAACCACGGCCCAGAGAACAGGCGGUGACAGGACCGGGAUGGGGCUGCUGUGGGCCAGGAGCCCAGAACAGCGGCUCUUGACUCAAGGAGAGAGAAGUGGCUGUAAAGAGUGACGUUUCUCAGGGUUUGCUGACCCCUGGGCUCCAGGCUAAUCUUGCCCUUUCUCCUCAGUGGGGUAGUGUCAGCAAUCAUACAUUUACAUGAGGGGCCUUUUCUCCACAGAUC